ensembl:lncRNA
UUCCAGUUGAUUUGCUUCCGAUGUGCCCAUUAAUCGACUGCAAGAGGUUCUAUGAGACUUUUUAAAACUACACCUGAAUGUAAAGACUCCUUACGGAUGUGAGGUAUACUGUAACGUUUACAUUCAAACGGAUGGCUGAGGAUGAGACAAAAAAAAAAGUGUGGUAGCAAAGAGAGUUAUAUCUUGAUUUUUGCAUAGAGAUGUUUUCAGGCACUGAGAACGCGCCCGUGCGUUUGUGCUGUCAAAGAAGAAAUAAGCAGUAUGAGCGUUCCCGGGAUCAAAAAAAGAUUCAAUUGUAAAUAUUUGGCAUUAGCACACCAAUCCAGAACAAGAAGAAAGCCUGAGGCGUUCUGUGGGAGCCAGUUACGGCAGCUGCCUCGGAGAGCCCUCUAUGAAUGGCUUUAUUGUAUUGCCCUCUACCGGAAUUACCGAGGACUGCAGACUGAUGCUCAGCGCGGAGAAAAAACUCGGGCGGGAGCUGCGUGAGGCGGAUACAAAUACGGUGUUUCACACUGCUUGGCAGAACCGCAGGGUCGAAUGCUUCUGGAUUUGCAGUCCAAAGAGGGUCUCGGGUUUUGUUCUGUCUUAGUGACUUUAGAGAAGAAUCCGUGUAUGCAGAAGUGAGACCCAAAGUUCUAAACUUGCCCAGAAAAUGGAUAACGUAUCCUUGAACUUUCAGGAAAAGAAAAAAAGAAAGCUUUCUGAGUUGCAGAGGUAGAUGGUUUCAGAGCUGAUGAGAGAACUGCUGUGUGAAACUGUGAGGAAAAGGUCUCUUUGGGUCCUGUGCCACAGAUUAUGAUUAUGAUUAUUAUUAAUUAUUAUGUUUGCAUUCAAAAAGAAUGCUCAGCUUUUCCUUACUGAUAGGCUUUUAUUAUUACUAUUUAUAUUCAUCCAGCGCUUGACUGAGACCAUUUUCCCCCUUAAAGGUGUAGGUCACUCAAUGCAUACUUGGUUACUGAGAUGUAAGGAAGAAAUGAAUCCCACAAAGGUGCAUUCUGAUCUUAAACCAAGAAAGGGAUUUUAAUGUUUGGCCCACCCUGAACCCACGGUGAAAUCUUCAGUGUUUCUCCCUCCACAGGUGCCUAAAUCCUACUGCUGUUAUACCACGAGCCUGUUAUUCCUGUUGUCACAGCUUUGGUUGGAUGACUUGAACUUUUAAACUAAAUUAUAAAAAAUAAGUCAGAAAUGGACCGAAAGGAGAACUUUUACUCAUGCAGCUCUCACAUGGAAAGAUUGGCCCAAGGCACUGCUUAAAGAAAGUUUUGCAUGAAAUUAUUGAAAGUAUUUCAUUACUGUACAGGUGAAUUCACCGAUUUUACGCAUUGGAAUAAUCCCUUAGAAGAAAGCCUUCUUUCCAUACGAGGAAUUGGAGAAUGUGUGAGUUACUCGUGGCAGCAAGCUGAAGAUCUGACUCGUUUUGUGUAAAAGAUGGAAGAUCAGGUCACGACUCUCGGCCCGGUAAGGUGCAGCAGCUGUAGUUUUGUUCCACCCAUUUAACUCACAGGUUUUGUACUCUUGUUCAGCCUCAGCAAGGUCAUCCAAGCCUUUGAAAGGAAAAGAAAAGCAAUAUUGAAAGGACAGAUUUAAAGAACCGAGCUAAUAGAGUUUUGUAUUUGUCGGAUUUCUCACACGUAAGCCACCAGAACAUCUGUAAGGAAACAGGCACUUUUAGGUGUUCUCCCUUCCGAGGGCUAUUUAGCAGUCCUACAGUACUGUCCACGGUUUGUGGUGUCAUCCUUGCAGGAACCGAGAAUUUACAAGCGUCAUUUUGCUUGUCUUGUAAGAAGAGUAAGAAAUAGGUAGCAGUCCCUUAAUUCUUCUAACCUAGUUUAGAAUCAAUUAAUUAAUCAGUAGCUGUGACUAAUUAUUCACUUCCAAUUAACCUGGAAAUUAUUUCAAAACGAAGCCAGAGAACAUGACUUCCAUGGUAACCGGUAAGUUUCUGCAGUGAAUUGGUGACGCAACCUAUGUGAUAUUACAUACCCUAUCUACGCUUACCUUAACAAUAGAGAAGGUGAUUUAUUUUGUAAGUUUUGUUGUGCAGCUUUAUUUAUUUGUUUAUUUAUUUUAGUGCCUAUAUAGUCCUCUACCAACUGUGCUGUUGUAUUUCAAGGGGAGUUUAUGGUCUGUAUUUUAUUACUUGUUAGAAUACUAGCUCGAAAAAGUUAAUAAACCGUACAUGAGUCCAGCGAUGUGACCGUUAACUAACUGGAACACUUUGCCUCACUGAGGACUUGAAAAUCACCAGAUACGAACGCAUUGCUUGUGCAACGAAUACUUUUCCAAAGCUGAAUAGAAUGUCAUCAAAAGAAAAGCUGAUCAAAGCCCACGUCAGUGCUCUGGUCUUAACUUAGGAAUGGCUUACGUUGUUGUAUCUAUGUGAUGUUAAAAAACAAAACAAAACAAAAAAAAACAAUUGGCUUGGCCUCUGUUGACUGAUUUCUAUCACAGUAUGGCUCAGACCUCAAAGAUCAUCGAGCUCGAAUGCCUCCACCACCGGCCGGGCUGCCACCCACUCAAUUGGGCUGCCCAGAGAGCCACAUCCAGCCUGGCCUCGAACGCCUCCGGAGACGCGUCAUUCACAACCUCCCUGGGCAUCCUGUGUCAGUGCCUCAAUACCUCGAGUAAGAAAUUCCUGCCUCCUAAUAUCUAACCUAAAUCUUCCCUCUUUUCGUUUAAAGCCAUUCCACCUUGUUCUGUCACUAUCAGGUUGUAGCGGAAAUGCCAAAUCACAGCUUGAAUCACAGGUGAUUGCGCACCUGGUGGGAAGGCAGGGCCAACCCAGGGGACCUCAGGUGCACUCAAUGCAGCUGAGUGACCGGGAGGGGUGGAGCCAGGAUCCGCCCCUUCCCAGGCCUCAUUUAAGGGUCAGCAGUGAAGGUGAGGGUGUCUUGCCGGUGAUUCUUAUAUCCUUGAGGCCCUCUGAAGGUAAGCAGCUGCUUUUCUUUGUUUCUGCACCCACGGCUGUUGUGCUUGGGCUUGUUCUCUUUUGCUGCAGCCGUGGGCUUUGCCACCCUGCUGUUAUUGGUGUACUUUCCAUCGUGUUACAGUGUUACGCAGACCCUGUAAAAAGUUGGUCCUCCUCCUGUUUAUAAGAUACCUUCAAGUGCUAGAAGCCACAGUGAAGCAUUUUCUUCUCCUUGGUAAGCAAAAUCAAGUUCCAUCAACAACUUUUCUUGAUAGGAACAGUACUAAAGCUCUUUGCUCAUCUUUGUGGCCUUCCCCUGGACCCACUCCAUCAGCCCCACGUUCUCUCUCGUGCUGAGGGCCCCAGGCACAGGUCUCCAGAUAGAGCGCUGUGAGGGCAGAGUAGAGGGGGGACGAUUGCCUCCCUGUCUUGUUGCAGCCCAGGAUACCCUUGGUUUUCUGGGCUGGAAGUGCACUCUGCUGGCUCACACGGAGCUUCUAGUAUGCUGGAACCCUCAAGUUCUUCUCUGCAGGGCUGAUCUCAGUGACUUCUCCUCCUGGUCUGAGCUCGUAUCUAGCAAGGUCCUGACCCUUGGGAUGCGUGUUAUCGGGCCCCAUAGCCUUGUACGCACUCAGUCUCAUUGGGUGGUCUCAGACUCGCUCUUCUCUUACUGGGUGAGGGAUUUGAAUCCUCCAGCCCCCGGCCGGAGGUUUGUGAACAUGAGAGCUAUGGAAAUCCUGACCGCUAGCAAAGACUAAAGCGAGGAACUCAUUGAGCACUUCAGCCUUCCUUCCAUCUGUCGUUGCCCUUUCUCACUUAUGAGAGUGAGUAUGCUUUCCUUGUUCCUUUCUCUUGUGAGCAGUGUACCUGUAGAAAUCCCUUCCUGUUUCUUGUUUGUUUGUUUUUAAAUCUCCUGCCGAAUGCAGUGCCCUCUGAACUGUUGAGGGCUGGAGAACUCUCGUGCUCUCAGAAAGGCAUCCUUAAAGAGCUCCUUUCGUGCUCCUUUCUAACUCAGCGCUUGGGUAUAGAUAUACAUAUAUGAAGUUAUUUUUUUCUUCUUCUUCAUAUGGAGUGUUGUACUCAAUUUUAUGUAGUUAUUGCAUAAUGAGCCUCCUCUGCCUGAGUUAAGUGAAAGCUGUGAAGCGCAUUGAGUGUUGCAGAAGCAGAACCUGUCUGAAAUAAUGCUGCUUGGCUGGCUUUGUUGCCUUUUGGUGUGUGUGCGUGUGGGGGGGGAAUCGAGGAGAGCAACAGAUCUUUUUGUUUUAUGAGGCUUCCCUGAUGACAGGGCUUUUAAUAUUGGAACUUGUUUUCUACGGGAGGGUUCUUCUUUGUUGUUUAUAGUCUUUGGGAUUCUACAUGCUAUUCAGAAACAAUUGCUCAGAGGUAGGUAACUUAUGGUGAACCUGUUUCAUUCCCUGUCAAGUCUCAACAGAGAAGAGUGGUGUUACCUGAUACCUCUGUGGAGAUAGCCACUUCCAGAGUGCUCUGCACUUUACAGGGACUCUGCAUCCUUUGUUCCCAUAAGGCAAUAAACGCUGCCCAAUGAAUGCAGCAAUUGGUUCCCAGAGUAAAGAGUUCGGGGUGGAAUAGCACAGCGAGGUUGUUAAAUGCUGAUCUGAGCACAGAG